GCUGUAUAGCUCAGUUGUUUAGAGUGUGGUGCUGAUAAUGCAAAGGUUACAGGUUUGAUCCCCGUAAGGCAGAAGUU